rnacentral:rRNA from 3 species
CAAACGACUCUCGGCAACGGAUAUCUUGGCUCACGCAUCGAUGAAGAACGUAGCAAAAUGCGAUACUUGGUGUGAAUUGCAGAAUCCCGUGAACCAUCGAGUUUUUGAACGCAAGUUGCGCCCGAAGCCAUUCGGCUGAGGGCACGUCUGCCUGGGCGUCACG